AUGCAUUGCUCAUUCCCAUUUAUUUUUGUUAAAAUACGUAACUUUAAUGGAAGAACCAUGUUUUAUUUUGCUUUCUUUGUACUUAAGAUAAUAAGACUUCUCCCCCUGCUUUUUAGGGGAGCUGAAAUAUGGAAAUUCUUUCUGAUUGGCUUCAGAAGCUUCCUAGACAUGCUUUCGAGUGUCGAUGUUUGGCCUGGAACCCUUCAGGCUCCCCACGCGCACUGCAAUUCCUGUGGUCCAGUUACUUACAGGAUCCUGUCUGGGUGCCACUUACCAGAGAUGCCUCGGACACAGAGGUGCUCGUCGCAGAAGCAUAAGAGUAAUAUUCUGAAUGAUGGGAGUUUCUUCCGCAUCCAGACUGGUGAUGGUGUUGAACUCUCAAAAUGGCCAGGUCAGAAAUCUGUCUUGUACUCUUUAAGUAGAGUUCAAUAGUCUCAUGAUUUGCAAACUAACUGGCCCCUCCUCCCUCUAGUCACCUUCCUUAGGUUGUAAGUGACUGAUGUGACCCCCUCAGCAUCCUAAUGCUAUUUAUGUGACUGACUACCGCUGACACGGAAGGGACCCACCUAACCUAGAAAUUCUCUUUGAACUUGUAGGGAAAACAGACACGGGGGAAAUUUUAGUUGAAGAAAAGAUAUAUUUUCAUUCUUAACUUUUUCAAAAUACGUAGUAGCAAAUACUUCCUGUGUCUUGGAGGUUACAUUUUGAAUCCUGAUUAGAGUAUGUUCUAAAGCCUUACCGUAGAGGAGAUGCUUUUGUAUUAAGUGUUAGCUGAUCCCCAGUACGGAAGGCCAGGAAACUUCUACUGUACCCAGAAAUGACCGGGGGGAAUCUGUCAUCAAGUUCUAGGGUCCAUUGGGUGCUUGGCAUGAGAGAUGAAGCUAAAAGGGCAAGAACUGAGUACAGGUAGGGAUGGAGGGGAAGCUGAAGGAAGUAGCAGGAAUAAGACAAGAUCUGGGGCUUAUUCAGUAUUCUGAGCUGAGAUGACAGGCUGCCUCAUGAUGCUUUGGUAGUUUGAUCCAUCCUAAAACUGCAGGAUCAGGCAAACAAGUACUGUAUUAAAAUCCUCUUAUAUAAUAGUUAAGAAUGAUUCACUCUUUAUAAUUGAGGGGCACUGCAGAAGGCAGUGGGAUUACAAAUAAUAAUAAUGAUAACAAUCAUCAUUGUGAUUAUAGUAAUAAAAAUAGUUUGCACUUACA
rnacentral:lncRNA from 1 species